rnacentral:rRNA from 1 species
GACGAACGCUGGCGGCGUGCCUAAUACAUGCAAGUCGAACGCGGGAAAUCUAGCUUGCUAGAUUGAAGGAGUGGCGAACGGGUGAGUAAUACAUAAGCAACCUACCCACGAAGACUGGGAUAAUCUCUGGAAACGGGGACUAAUACCGGAUAGGUAAUCGGAAGGCAUCUUCUGCUUAUUAAAGGUUAUUAAGACUGUUGGAUGGUCUUAUGCGGCACUAGUUAGUUGGUAGGGUAAAGGCCGACCAAGACGACGAUGCGUAGCCGGCCUGAGAGGAUGAACAGGGACAAUGGGACUGAGACACGGAGCAGUCGGCUACGGGAGGCAGCAGUGGGGAAUAUUGGAGAAUGAGCGAGAGUGUGAUCCAGCAGUGCCGCGGGAGUGAAGAAGUGCUUAGGGUUGUAAAGCUCUUUUAGCCGGGAUGAUAAUGACAGUACCGGGAGAAAAAGCUCCGGCUAACUCCGUG